UUUCCUCACUGACCAAAGCUAGGAUGUGUGUAAACGUCACGCGUUGUUUUUCUCUCUUAUAGUUCAGUCAUUCUGAGAGCGGUGUUAUUUUGUGGCGAACCGCCGCCGGGCGCUCGUUUAAGCAGCGCAACUCUUGUUCGGCGUUAGUUUAGUUGGAUUUUGGGAUUGGUUGGGAAACAAGUUGCAGAAAGUGAGUCGGAAUAUUUUGAAGCGCCAGGAUGGCGAGUCCGCCGCUAACGGGAGGGACGUCGUUAUCAAACGUCAACAAGUAUUCAAACAACGUCAAGAAAAGUGGAUACCUUAAAAAACAGAAGCACGGACACCGGAGAUUUUUUGUUUUGAAAGAGCAAAGCGACUGCCUGCCAGCCCGGCUGGAAUAUUAUGAGAGCGAGAAGAAAUGGAAAAACAAAUCAGCUGCGAAAAGAGUCAUCUCUCUUGACUCCUGUUUGAGCAUAAACAAACGCGCAGACGCCAAACACAGGUACCUGAUAGCUCUCUAUACCAAGGACGAAUAUUUUGCCGUAGCUGCUGAAAACGAAAACGAGCAGGAAAGCUGGUACAGAGACCUCACCGAUUUAAUGAGUGAGGGAAAAGUGUAUGACAGCGCAGUAACCAACUCGGCGUCCUCUUUAGUGGGCUUUGACGAGGGUAAUUACGGUAUGAUUACUCCAGUGAACGCCGCUUACAAAGAGGUAUGGCAAGUGAAUGUGAAAUCUAAAGGACUUGGACAGACUAGAAACAUCACGGGAGUUUACAGGCUGUGUUUAUCAAGUCGGUCCAUUAGCUUUGUGAAACUUAACACUGAAGUUCCAUCUGUCAGCCUGCAGCUAAUGAACAUAAGGCGAUGUGGUCAUUCUGACAGCUUUUUCUUCAUUGAGGUGGGCAGAUCUGCCUCUACAGGACCCGGGGAGCUUUGGAUGCAGGCAGAUGACUCUGUAGUGGCACAAAACAUACAUGAAACAAUUUUAGAGGCUAUGAAAGCAAUGAAAGAGUCGUCAGAGUUCAGACCACGCAGCAAAAGUCAGUCUUCAGGCUCCAACCCCAUAUCUGUACCUACCCGGCGGAACUUGAACAAUUUGCCUCCCAGUCAGACAGGGUUGGUAAGGAGGUCAAGGACAGACAGUGUGGCAGCCACAUCGCCUAUCAACAAGUUUACUUCCUGUCGGAUACGCACAGCCAGUGAGGGUGAAGGCACCAUGGCAAGGCCAGUAUCCAUGUCGGUAUCAGAAAACGGAAGCCCCACUGUCCGGAAGCACAUGAGCAGGUCCAACACUGUUUCUGUGGGAUGCCGUACAUUCGAAGCAUCGCUUCUACAUCACAACCGAUCCAUGUCUAUGUCUGUGCCUGUAUCUCAUUCACCUCCAUCUCCCAUAAGCCCACUGAGCCUCUCUUCUACUAGCAUGAAUGGCUCUACCUCCACCUCAGCAGUACACAAACCUUCGAGUUGUAGUGGCUCUGUCUCAGGGUCACCUAGUGACACUGGCUUCUUGUCUUGUGAUGAUUACGGGUCCAGCCCAGGAGAUGCAAAAUACAGUGCAUCCAACCGGAGCAAUACACCUUCAUCCUUCUCUGGGACGCCCCCUUCCCGCGAAAGCACAGAUCUCCAUGGUUACGUGAUGAUGGACAGUCCAUCAAGCCACUCCUUGAAUAAGAUCCAGGCAUCCAGCAGAGAGAAGUUGGACUUAGAGAAGUUAUACAGGAAGAGAACUUACUCUCUUACAGCACCACAACAACCUAGGACCCCAUCUCAGCAGUCAUCAGCCUCACUUGAUGAAUAUAUGUUGAUGUGGGCAGUGUAUGCUAAUGGCAACUCUGGGCAGAGCACACACUCUGUUUCUCCAAAGAUUUCAUACCCUGAGGAUUAUGGGGACCUUGAAAUUGGCUCCAGCAGGAGUUCUAUCAGUAACCAAGGUGAUGAUGGCUACAUGCCCAUGACACCAGGUGCGGCACUACAAGGCAGCAAAAAUGACCACUAUGUGCCCAUGAGCCCCAUGUGUGUCUCAGCCCCCAAGCAGAUCAUCAAUCCCAGGUCCCACCCUCAGGCCACAGGCAGGCAAGGCACAACCAAUUCUCCCAGCACUGGUUCACUAGAGGACAGUGGUUACAUGAGGAUGUGGUCUGGCUCCAAAUCCUCAUUGGAGAGCACUGAUGUCAGAGUCACAAAUGGGGAAUAUAUGAACAUGUCACCUGUUGAUCCAUACGUCUCAGCAACUCCACCAGAUUAUGUCCUUGGAGGGUGUGUGCCAGCACAGCGACCCUCUUUCUUGCUAAAUUCUAACAAACAUGAAGGUCCUAAAAGAGGAGAGGACCAGUAUGUUUUAAUGUGCCCUCAGGGGCAUAAACGAGGAGAGGAGACAAACUGCAAUGCCAUGUCUAUGGCAAACCCUGGGCUGUCGUUGCCCAGUCCCUCCACCCUUAAUCCACUCAGGCAUAGUCGGAACGAUGGACUGUUGCACAGAGCACGAGUCAGCAGACAGAACAGAUUAUCUCUGGAUACUCUAAGGAUGCUCCCAAGAAUGAAUGAACAUCCCCUCCCCAGUGAGCCAAAAAGUCCAGGGGAGUAUAUCAACAUAGACUUUAGUGACAUUUCACAGUACUCCUUGCCCUCUGGAUCAGUGGAGAGCCAGGCUUCAUCACCCAGCCUUGGCAGCCUAAGAAGAAGAUCCCCACUUUGUGACUACAUGAACCUUGACCUGAACUCACAUUCCCCAAAAUCAGAAGAAACCCUUGCUAGUUCCCUACAUGAAAUCCCAGAGCUCACCAAUUGUCCAUGCUCAUCUGAUGAGGGAACGUACGUCUCUGACGAGCAGAACCCCUCCUGUUCACCUGGCACCAGGAAAGAUGAUUAUGCUGAGAUGAAAUUUGAUGAUGCACGCAUGUCUCCCUCAAUCAUCACGGAGAAUGGUGAAACCGAUAUGGCUGGUCCCACUAACAGGGUACAGCGGCUCACUCUGACUGACAAAAGCAUGCCAGGAAUAGGUGCAUUCCUCUUACCCAACUCCACAGUCGACCCUGAUGGAGAGGCAAAGGUGAUCCGAGCUGACCCACGCGGUCGAAGACGGCACAGCUCAGAGACCUUCUCGUCCACCACCACUGUAAUGCCGGUGUUUCCCUCUUUCGCCCACCAGUCCAAGCGGCAUAGUUCUGCCUCUGUUGAGAAUGUCUCGGUCCGAAGCAGUGAGGGUUCUGAUGAGGAAUACGGCAGCCCCAUGUGCAAAGAGACUUCCGCUGGGUUCCAGCAUGGUCUGAAUUAUAUCGCCUUAAACCUCAUGGAAAAUAGAGAGUUUGGGAACUGUGAAAAUAUGAUGGGAUUCAAGACUAUCAGUUGCUGCAAAGGAGGAAUAAAUGGUCUACACGACAGCCCGUAUGUUUCUCUGGGAUUCAAGGAGACAGUGACCACUGUAAAAGGUGAGUUCUUCUGACAUGUUAUUUUGUUAUGGGUCAUGCUGGCAGUUAAGACAUGAUGAAGCAUGUAGGAUAGGGGUCCAAUGGCGACAGUAGUCCUUACCACAAGGUUGAUCACCACAAGGUGUUGUUCAUAAUAAUUCUUUUUAAUUUGACACUUAUGCAUGAAAUAUGUAUGUUUAUACUCUAGCUUAGUCAUCUUAUUGUCAUUCUAGUUUUAGCUCCUCAGGUUUAUCCUGUAUUUAAAACAUUCAAUUGCACAUUAAGUUAUUUGUCAUACUUGGUUUAAGUAUAUAAUUAGCUUUAAUUAAAAGUACAUAAUUAUGUACUUGUGAAGACGCAUAAUAAGGUCUGUGACAGGAAUUUCACAUUUAUGAAUUUUUAUUCGCUCUAUUUUAAAAUUGUUUUCAUAAUAUUUUCGAUUUAGGGGAAUGAGAGAAAGUGAAGAAAAUCACUGGGGAAUAUGAGUUAAAAAUAACCCAAUACACUGCACGUCUGAGAGCAUUAAUCCGCAGUGUAUUCGGUGUUAUUAUGCAAUGCAUGGCGCAUUCAGUGGAACAUCUGUGUUCUAACAGUUCACUUCGGCUUUGCACGAUGAGACCUUGUUAUUGACUGAGAGAAUGUGUUUUUCACUCAGAGGAAUUCCCUGGAAUUUCAGACGUGCUGAACGUGACGAAGCGCAGUGGCUGUGUGCGGUGGUAAACAAACUGCGCAGCACUGCGCGUUAGGGGGAAGGCGCUCACGUUUUGCUCUUGCUCUCAAUGAAGGAUUAAAGAAUCGUGCAAUAAUCACACAGAAGUGCGUUUUAGUGCUUACAUGAGAAGUCGUUGGUGCUGAAUUAUUUAAAAAGCGCUAUUCUUAGGUGGUGGAGAGAACGUGAGAUUGUUGUUCUGAAGCUCGAGCUUACGUGAGAUUGUUGUUCUGAAGCUCGAGCUUACGUGAGAUUGUUGUUCUGAGGCUCGAGCUAAAGUGUGAUUGUUGUUCUGAGGCUCGAGCUAAAGUGUGAUUGUUGUUUUGAGGCUCGAGCUUACGUUUGAUUGUUGUUUUGAGGCUCGAGCUUACGUGUCCAGGACUACUUUCGUUCUCAUUAUGGUCCAAGUUUUCCAAGAAAAUGCUUUCUGUUUUACUUUAUCAUGAAGCUCUCGGAAUGUCUCAUGUAUUAAAAGCCAUCCACGACUUGCAGCAGGGAAACUAGCUCUGAUAAUUUGCCUAAUUAUGUGUGGGUGUGUGUGUGUGCCAUGCAGUGCUCUCACAUGUUGGAGCAAUAUGCUGCGAUGACUAAUGUAAGAGCCUGGGGCCUUUAACCAAGCAUGCUGUUUUUGCAUGUGGCUCAACACACAGCCUCGCGUGUUGUGCACCAUGGCACGUACUUCAAAUUGUUUCCAUCCUUCUCAGUGUUCAUAUUAUAACACGUCCAAUUGCAGCUGAGCAGUAACCCGUGAAGAUUGAUCGUCGCACGGAUCAUGGUGGUAGUGCAUGUCCGUGACCAGAGGCGGCGGCCGCUGCGGCUGAACAUUGCUGCUGUAGAUGAACUUUGACCUUCGACCCUCACUCUGCGUUCCUGACAGACUAAAUGUUGUUCCUAUCCGGGCUGGACACUUUAAAUGUGGCCACCUCUGCAAGCAUCUGCUCUGUCCUUCAGGAACUGCAAACUGCUGCUCUGUAGGUGACAAUGGUCACAAACUUGUGUUGUGUAUGUUGUAUAGUUUAUUUUUAUUGUUGUUAACACUUUAAUCAUAUUUGGUUGGCCCUGGUGGAAUGAAUAGAAUAUAGCCACACCUCACCACUCAUACCCUGCAAAAACCACACCCAGAAUGUCUAAUAUUUACUUACCAUUCAUACAAACCUCUACAAAGGUACAUAUUUAAUGAUUUAUUUAUUUCUAGUACAAUGACUAAUGUUCAUGAUAUUUAUUGAUUAGCAACAAUGACCCAGGAGACCGCUACAUGUCCUACCUCAGGAAGAGAGUCUAUUGUGGGUGUACAAAAUUCAGACAUAAUGCCGAUUUAUGUUUUUAUUUUUUCUUUGCAUUACCAAUCCAAAGCCUUACUGUUUCACUGAUAUAGAAUUUGCUGGAAUAUACUAAUUAGGACCUAUGUAAUAAGACAGAUCUAAAAAUGUAAAUUAUAUAUAACAUAUUUUUUGUAGAUGCUUAUUUAAUCUCACCUUGACUAAUGAGUUUCUAUAUGUAAAAGGCCACUUAUAAUGUAAUCUGGAAAUAUGUCUGAAAUAUGCAAGUCGAACCACUAAAUCACGUGGUUGUUGCACAUGAUGAUUGCCUACCUUUGCAAAGAUUAACACAGAAAUGAGUAUUAUUUUUAUGACCAAUUACACACACACAUCCACAUACAUAUAUAUGCGUAUAUAUCGUUAUAUAUAAUGUAUAGCUUGGUAAAGCGAUGCAUAUGUGCCCUAUUGUAAUGUCUCCCUUUUUGGACACUGCACCACAACUGCCACACGGUAUACCUCCACUUUGUUUCUCCUGUCACUAGUGAUAUUAUUGGUGGUGAACAUGGUUAUGUUUAAUUUACUGACAAGACUAAGCGGGGAAGUACAUGGUGUGUUUAGUAACUGGUAGAAACGCAGGCACUUCACAGUGGGUUGCCAGUUGUUGACAGCCGACACUGUGACUGCAAGCAGCUACAGAUUGUAAUACAUGACACUUUUGAAUGUAGUGCAUGUAACUCAUUUAAGGUGUGUGAGGGGGAGAAGUAAACCAAAAUAACCUUAGUUUUCCUUGUUUCUUUACCCCUGUACAAUUGUGCAAACUGUAAACAAAGCUAUUAUUAGACAAGCAGUUUUGCUGAGGGAAACCUACGAGAUCUCUUCUCUCUGAAAAGGAUUAAGAACUAAUCUCAAAAAUAAACUAAAUAACUAAACAUAGAUAACUAAAUAACUAAACAUAGAAAACAUUAAAUGUCUAACAAUUUGCACAGAUGAAGUGCUUAUUCUUUCAGCUAAUAUAUACCAUACUAUACUUUUUUUUUCCUAUAGGACUUCACAAAGAGACAAAAGGCACUUUAUUAAGUAAUUCUGUAAAAGAAAAAAAAACAGCUACUUGAUUCUAGGGCAAAUCUUGUUUUUCGGUACCAUCUGUUCACCCUCUUUAUAUGCAAUAUUUACACACGAAAAAGCAAAAUUAGUUUACAAAGAGGAACCAAAUGUGUAAAGACUCUUAAUGUAUUUGUUGAAAGAUUUUACACAGAGAUUGACUAUAUGCUGUUUGUACAUUUCUUUCUGCCAACUUUAUUGAACUUAAAAUUCAACAGUAUUCCUGGAGUAUAAUAUAGUAAACUAUUGAUUGAACUUGCUGUGUCUUCCAUUGUCCAAAUGUCAUAUCCUAUUCGUCGUGUUGUUCUAAUGCUAUUAAAUGAUCAUUUAAAGUAUCUUAGUAGAAUAUCUAUUUUAUUUGUGUUGAGAGAAGAUAGGCACAUGCAAUAAUUAAAUAAAUAUUAUCAUUUAAGUCAAA